GUUGAAAGAUGAGGUUCGUUCUCCUUUUGCUUUUGUUGAUUUUGUAAUUUAUUUGAUCACUGUCUUCGAUUUUAUAUUUUAAAAUUGGGAAACGGAGGGGAAGUUUGAGAUCUCUGAUUUGUCUUUUGUCUUAUAACAUCUCUGUUAUUACUUAUUGCUCAAGAGCACGCGAAUAUUUAGCCAAAUACUCGUUCGACUUUCUCUUCCUCUCUGUAGUAGAUGGUAUAAAAUUUCUUUUUAAUGUGCCGGUUUCUAAUUUUGGAAAUUAAUUAAUCGAACAAUUCAGUUGAAAUUUAUGUGUGUAUUUGUGCAUGCUGCCUCUCAUUGAUUAGCUACCUAACAAAGUGGCUUUACUCAACAGAGAAGUACAUUUUUUUUUUAUUCUGAUUACAGAGGUUGGUUCAGCAUCAGCCUA
rnacentral:misc_RNA from 1 species